CGAAAGCAUAGCAGGUAAUAGAAACGCCAGAAACAGGCACAAUAGGUUGCAGCCAAAUAAAAAUGCCACAGCGUGAUGGGCCACACAAAGGUUCUGCUAGCCCCGCUUGUAACCACUGUCAUAGGGUCUGUAAAGUGGGUGGAGACCUCAGUUCCCAGGCCCAGAUUAGUAGACCAUCUUUCUCCUUUAGAAAUCCCUCCUCCCUACUCUCCCUUUCCUUUCUAAUCUCCACCUCCUUUUCCAAAGUUCCUGCUUGAGGAUCAAGAUACCAGGUUCCUCUACCUGCUGUUUCCUGCUUCCAAGGUCUCACUUUCCUCAUCUGUAGACUGAAGAUGCGGUGAUUCCUACAAGCCCUUCCUGCUCUUCCUCUGGUACCAACCCCCCAUCCUUCCUCUUCUGUCUCCUCAUACUUUGCUCUCCACAUUCCUCUCUCUUUCUGCUCCCCAACCUCCCCCUUGCUUUUCUGUCUCUUCCUGCUUACCUCUCUCCGUGUCCCUUUUUUUUUUUUUUUUUUUUUGGUCUUUUCAUCGAGCUCUGAAAGGGGGUAAGGGGUUAGUGGCAACGGAGCUCUAGGGGUUGGGAAAAAUCACUGUUAGCACAGGCUCCUCUUCUUCCCUGAAUAAUCCCUCCCUGGGCUGGGGUUUAACGAGAGGAAGCACCAACCUCCUGGAGGCCAGGUUUGCAGAGCUGAUGACCACUCACCUUUUUCGUCUCUGUGGGCGUUAUUCUGGGGGCCUUGAGUGUCCCUGGGUACUUCAACGGUCGGCAGAUCCUCUGACUUCAGAGAAUUCUCUUCUCCUGCGUCCGUCUUCAAUCCAGGACUGCUGUAACAAAUUUCCACAAACUGGGUGGCUUAAAGCAACCAAGAUUUAUUCUCUCACAGUUCUGAAGGUGAGGAGUCUGAAACUAAGGUGUUGGUAGGGCCCUGCUCCCUCUGAAGGUUCAAAGGCCUUUUUCAGCUUCUGGCAUUUCCAGGCAUUCCUUGGUUUGUGGCUGCAUAACUGCAAUCUGUGCUUCCGACUUCACGUGGCCUUCUCUUGUCCGUGCGUUUUCUACUGGCUGUCUCCCUCUUUUUUUUUGACAGGCAAUUUCAUCUACUCCCAUGGCUUCUGUAAACUGAUGACAGCCAAGUAUCCCCAGGUUGGACUCUGCUCAUCUCAGAUAUGUAACCACCUGCCUAAUGGAUGUCCCCACUUGGAUCUCCCACAAGUAUCUCAAAUUCAACAGGCCUCUAGCCAAAUUCCUCUGUCCCCAAAACUACUUCUUCUACCCUCUACCAAGUGGUAUAAGUCAGAAACCUGGUACCAUCUUUUCUUUAAUUUUUUCCUUCACCUCUGACAUUGUCAUCAAGCCCUAUGGAUUCUACCUUCUAAGCUUUUCAUCCUUGUGUUUCAUCCUAGUCUACAAAUUCCAUCACCUCUUACCUGGAUAACUACAUCUACCUCUUAAUGGGUCUUGCUGAGUCCAGCUAGCCAGGGUGAUCUCUCUAAAAUGCACACAUCAUCUCACGCUCUAUUUAAGACCUUUGAAUGUUUCCCAUUGCCCUUAGGAUAAAGUCCAUAGUAUUUGACAUGGCCUUCAGAGGCCUGCCAUUGCCUUGUUUUCCUUGAUGUGUUUGAACCUAGGUGGGGCCAAUCAGAAUGAAGCUCUAUGUUUCAAAUAUUUGAUGACAGAGGAAGCUCACUUUCACUUUGUCCAAACAUGGAUAAGGAAGCAUACAACCUCUGGAACUGUGGGCAGCCACCUUGUAACCUCAAUGGAAGCCAGCCUUAAGAUGAAGAUAAAACCAUGGAAGAUAGAGAGGGACUGUGGAAAGCAGUCCUUGGAGCUUAACUAACCCUAGAGCCUGUAUCUGGACUGUAACCUGCGUCUGGACUUUUCAGUUACAUGAGCCAAUAAAUUAUUGUUAAGCCACUUUGAAUUGAUUAUUUGUGACAUAGUCUUACUAAUAUAAAUUCCCUCUAUAGCCUGUGUCUAUGACUCCAGCCUUCUUUCUCAUCACGCUUUCCUUUGCAAUCUGUGCUCCAGUCUUACUAAACUUCUAGCAGUUUCUUGAAUCACGUGUGUGUGUGUGUGUGUUUUAUCUCCAAUCCCUUAUUCAUGCUAUUUUUCUUUCUACCUCACCCACACUGCCAGCUCUGCCUAGUCAAGCUUUGUCCUGUUUAUCCUUUUGGCAUCCUUCAGUUCACAUGUUACUUCCUCUGAGAAGCUUCCCUGACCCCUGGAUUAGGGUCAGUCCCUUUCCCCUGCAUGCAUAGAAGCCUGUAUUUUCUUUGGAAUGUGUAUCUCACUUUGUGGUGAUUCCUUACCAUGUCUCUCAUGCUGGACUAAAAGCAUUCAUGAACAUGGGUCACAUUUCUCUUGUUCCCCAUCUUCAUGCCUAGCAUAGGACCUGAUGCAUGAGAGGCAUGUAAUAUUUUUUCAAUAUUGAUUUAUUUGGCUGCUUUGGGUCUCACUUGUGGCACGUGGGGUCUUUGUUGCCUCUUGUAGGAUCUUCCGUUGGGGUUCAUGAACUCUCUAGUUGUGGUGUGCAGCCUUUGCAGUUGCGGUGCUCAGGUUUAGUUGCCCUGCAACAUGUGGGAUCUUAGUUCCCCAACCAGGGAUCGAACCCACGUCCCCUGAAUUGCAUGGUGGAUUCUUAACCACUGGACCACCAGGGAAGUCCCAAGGCAUUUGAUUUUUGUGGAAUGGCUGGUGGUUAUUGUUAAAGCAUCCUGAGAGCUUCUCCAACAGCCAGUUAGUUGAAAGCAGAGGUUAAAGGUAACUAAACAAUAGAGAAAAAAAAAAUUUUUUUUUUUUUUUUGGCUGUGCCACACAGCUUACAGAAUUUUAGUUCGCUGACCAAGGAUUGAACCCGGCUCCAGCAAUAAAAGCACCGAGUCCUGACCCCCGGACCACCAAAGAAUCACCUUCACUCCUUUAUUUUUAUUUUUUUAAAUAAAAAAUAUAUAUAUAUAUGUAUUUUUUUUAAGAAUAGCAAGACUUCCCCAGUGGUCUAGUGGUUAAGACUCCACUUUCCAAUGCAGGGGGUGUGGGUUCAAUCCUUGGUCUGGGAACUAAGAUCCCGCAAACCACGGGAUUUUAUUUUAAAAAAUAAAUAAAUUUUAAAGGAUAGAGAGGUUUUUGACUGUUCUCUGAUCCUCUUCCUUGUCCUCUGCCCCUUCCUUUAGCUUUAGGGGAGACUGUGGGUUGAGUCAAUUCCAGGCAGACUAUGGUGUGCCUGACUUGCUCUGUGGGACACUUGGUCUCCAGGGAAUCAGUUGUCUCCAAGUGUCCUCAAUGUGUCUUGCUCAGCUUUGCCCUCCUCUGCCUCAAAAGCUGAAUGAUUUCCCCACCUGAGCUCACAGUUGACUCUAUUCCCAUCACCUCUUCCGUCCACCUAAAGUACACUCACACACUGGCAGAGCACGCAGACACCCUCAUCACCAACUGCACCCCUGGGGUCUAUGCUCUGUUCUCAUCACCUGGGCUCAUGGUGAUGCCAGUUAUCAUGAGAUGACCUGUCCCCUUCCACCCUGCAGCUCUUAGUGUGGACUG